CUAGUUUUCCGGUAUUCCGAAUA
rnacentral:siRNA from 1 species